rnacentral:rRNA from 1 species
AUUGAACGCUGGCGGCAGGCUUAACACAUGCAAGUCGAACGAGUGGCGGACGGGUGAGUUAUGUCUGGAAAACGGCCCGAUGGUGGGGGAUAACUACUGGAACGAGUAGCUAAUACCGCAUACCAUGGGAUGUGCCCAGAUGGGAUUAGCUCGUAGGUGGGGUAACGGCUCACCUAGGCGACGAGCCCUAGCUGGUCUGAGAGGAUGACCAGCCACACUGGAACUGAGACACGGUCCAGACUCCUACGGGAGGCAGCAGUGGGGAAUAUUGCACAAUGGGCGCAAGCCUGAUGCAGCCAUGCCGCGUGUAUGAUGAAGGCCUUCGGGUUGUAAAGUACUUUCAGCGAGGAGGCGUUACUCGCAGAAGAAGCACCGGCUAACUCCGUGCCAGCAGCCGCGGUAAUUC